UGGCUGCCAUUACCUCUAGCAAUUCGCAGUUGUUCUGUUGGUUUGCACUAGGAUGCUGGGGAGAAAGUCCCUAUGCUGUCCAUCUGUCUCUUGGCAGCUCAGAUUGAACUGGGGAGUACAUCU